GCUCGUUGUUAAUUAAUUGGACCUUGUUGUAAAGUGUUACAACAUACAUUCUUAUAUAUACUUUGUUUCACCACUGAUUUAUUUAUUUAUUUUUUCUACAUUGUCUAAACAAUCUUGUUGGCCUACUGUAAGAAGUGCUAUAGUUAGUAAAUUCAUCAUCAAACAUUGGCAGAUAAACAAAAAUAAACACAGUACAAUAUGAAUUUUUGUUGCAGGUUUUACUAUUUUUAUUUCGAUUUUUUUUUUUUUUUUUCAGGUUUUUCCAUUUUUAUUAAUUUUUUUGGAAAGAGUUGCACUCAGCCUUCAUUAAAACAAAACAAAAAACAGGUUGGUUUCACAGCAGGCCAUCCUCAUCACCUGCCAACCAAGCAACAGACAACCAGAAACCGACCAAAGGGGAUUUGUUUGGUUGCUUCUAGUUUUCUGGUGCUUUGUCAGCGGGUCAUAGACCUGGCGCUGUUCACUUCAGGUCCACUGGACCCCGGCCAGAGAUCCAGUGUUGCCAGAGAAUGCACUAGAACAGGGCAGUGGACCCGAGUGCCCGAAUCCCUUGGCAGUUGGGUUCUCCUCCUCUCCUCCUCAAAAUCUAAACACAGAAUGAUCAUCACAUUAUUAUAUCUAAAGUUCAAAGAUACAGGACUGAUCUAAUAAUAAUUUAAAGUGAAAGAUAGCCUACUUACAAAAUAAUAAACGCAAGCAUCGGCACAAUGCCAAAGAGAUCCUUAGGCAGCGUGACGUCUCAACUCGUGUGCAGUCAUCUAGUGGCAGCUAAAAUUGAGAGGAAUUGAAAAAAGAUCUGUUUUGUAAAAUGGAUUGUACAUUUUAUUUGACAAAUGGGUGGUGGUUUUAUUCAAUACGUUACACGAGCACAACUUCCUUAUUGCGUAUAGCCAGUAAAGAGAUCACAGAAAAAGAUACAUUAUUUAAAAAGUAUGUGAUCAUUACUGCUCUCAAUUUUAAAAGUCAAAUAAACAGCUAGGAUCACUCACCAGUCUGCACACUAGAUCACAGCAUACAAGCUGUCCAUCUCCGCUCCAUAUCAGACAAGAGUCUGCAGGAUAGAAAGGAGGGGUCUCUGUUUCCUCUCGCUUAAAUACUCUAACACUUCCUCAGUGAACUCCUCCCUCUCCUCAUCAGAUUCGGUUUCUCAGUAAAGUGAAAGCUACAGUAGGGACUUGUCUAAAGACGUUUUUAUUGUGAUAUUUCAUUACAUUUCUGUUUACUUUUUUUUUUCAUGGUAAUGUUUUAAUCUGUUGGUCCCCCAACCAACAGAAACCGAGCUCACAAAAAGGUUCAAAACCGCAAAUAAUAAAAUAACAUUCAGAAAGACAAAAAAAAAAUCGUCAUUGUAUAACUAAACAAAACACUUCCAAACAACCCCUUACCACAUAACCAAUAACUCAGUAGUAUAAAGCGGUGGUUCUUAACUCUUAUUUGGUGGACCCACUGCUCUGUACAUUUUGUAUGUCUCUUCUACCUGACAGCUGACACACUCAUUUCAGUUCAUGGAUCUCUCUCUCUCUUAACGAGCUGAUGAUUUGAA
rnacentral:lncRNA from 1 species